UGAUGAAAGUCAGGCUCUUCUCAGUCCUGAAACUGGGCUGCCUAAAUAAAAGGGCAAUCGUUGCCUUCUUUCUAGCUCUUUGUAAGCCUGAUGAUUGUUUUUUGUAAUUGAAGUUACAUUGAAGUAAUUCUGUCACUUUUCCUCACAAAUAUGCAGUGAUGCUGCUUUUGAUUUGCAUUUGUAUUCUUUUUUUUUUUCCCUCGCUUCAGGGUACAUUUAGUGUUUAUUUACUCUCAAUUAACAGUUCAAGUUUCAUUCAGCUGCAAGUCUUAAAAUGGUUGAUACAGUAAUUUGAAAUUCUGUAUAUCUAUGCACUGAUUGAUGAAUAAAUUCCUACUUGUUAAAU
rnacentral:misc_RNA from 1 species